rnacentral:tRNA from 1 species
GCUCUUAUGGUGUAAUGGUUAGCACUCUGGACUUUGAAUCCAGCGAUCCGGGUUCAAAUCCCGGUAGGACUGUUUUGCA